CAGCGCCACGGUAAUACGUAGGUGGCAAGCGUUGUCCGGAAUUAUUGGGCGUAAAGGGCUCGCAGGCGGUUUCUUAAGUCUGAUGUGAAAGCCCCCGGCUCAACCGGGGAGGGUCAUUGGAAACUGGGAAACUUGAGUGCAGAAGAGGAGAGUGGAAUUCCACGUGUAGCGGUGAAAUGCGUAGAGAUGUGGAGGAACACCAGUGGCGAAGGCGACUCUCUGGUCUGUAACUGACGCUGAGGAGCGAAAGCGUGGGGAGCGAACAGGAUUAGAUACCCGCGUAGUCCCUGUCUCUUAUACA
rnacentral:rRNA from 1 species